rnacentral:rRNA from 1 species
UACCAGCACCCCGAGUGGUCGGGACGUUUAUUGGGCCUAAAGCAUCCGUAGCCGGUUCUACAAGUCUUCCGUUAAAUCCAACUGCUUAACAGGUGGGCUGCGGAAGAUACUAUAGAGCUAGGAGGCGGGAGAGGCAAGCGGUACUCGAUGGGUGAGGGGUAAAAUCCGUUGAUCCAUUGAAGACCACCAGUGGCGAAGGCGCUUGCCAGAAC